CUCCUACGGGAGGCAGCAGGUGGGAGAAUAUUCGCACAGAUGGAGGGCAAACUCCCUGAUGCACGCGACCGCCGCAGUGGAAGAGAAGAAGGGUCUUGCGGUAUAUGUAACAUCUCCUUGUGUGGGAGAGAAGAAGAAUAGAUGCACCGGUAACAUGAAAGAUUUGCAAUCGUGACGCGUCUCAACCUCCGGAGACCCGCCGUGGCGUCCGUACCGUCGUAGCGUCACAUCGCGUUUGUCCGGAAUUACUGGGUGUAAAGGGAGCGCAGGCAGGAAGACAAGUUGGAAGUGAAAUCUAUGGGCUCAACCCAUAAACUGCUUUCAAAACUGUUUUUCUUGAGUAGUGCAGAGGUAGGCGGAAUUCCCGGUGUAGCGGUGGAAUGCGUAGAUAUCGGGAGGAACACCAGUGGCGAAGGCGGCCUACUGGGCACCAACUGACGCUGAGGCUCGAAAGUGUGGGUAGCAAACAGGAUUAGAUACCCUGGUAGUCCACACCGUAAACGAUGAUUACUAGGUGUUGGAGGAUUGACCCCUUCAGUGCCGCAGUUAACACAAUAAGUAAUCCACCUGGGGAGUACGACCGCAAGGUUGAAACUCAAAGGAAUUGACGGGGGCCCGCACAAGCAGUGGAGUAUGUGGUUUAAUUCGACGCAACGCGAAGAACCUUACCAAGUCUUGACAUCCUGCGACGAUGCUGGAAACAGUAUUUUCCUUCGGGACGCAGAGACAGGUGGUGCAUGGUUGUCGUCAGCUCGUGUCGUGAGAUGUUGGGUUAAGUCCCGCAACGAGCGCAACCCUUACUGUCAGUUACUACGCAAGAGGACUCUGGCAGGACUGCCGUUGACAAAACGGAGGAAGGUGGGGAUGACGUCAAAUCAUCAUGCCCUUUAUGACUUGGGCUACACACGUACUACAAUGGCGUUAAACAAAGAGAAGCAAGACCGCGAGGUGGAGCAAAACUCAGAAACAACGUCCCAGUUCGGACUGCAGGCUGCAACUCGCCUGCACGAAGUCGGAAUUGCUAGUAAUCGUGGAUCAGCAUGCCACGGUGAAUACGUU
rnacentral:rRNA from 1 species